GCCAGCUGUCCAGAGCCACAUCCACCAUGUUCUUCAUGACAGGCAGAAACUCAGAGGUGAGCAGGGCGUUGUGACGGUGAGUGGGACCCUGCAGCCCCCUGCUGUCCCACAGCUCCACCACCAGACGCAUCUGCCACAGGGGGAAAGUCUGCAGCAGGUCGCCCCGACGCAGAGCACCCACCGCCUGAGAGACACCGGAGACGACACGGAUGUUUUACAGAAGAACUCUGCAAAGGAGACCAGGGCGGGCUCUGAGGUGAACGUAGAGAUGGCUUCAGGCUGCAGAAACAUGACGAAACUGUAAAAUUAUUCACAUGAACCCAUGCGGACAUAAUGGAUGGCCACAGAGGGCAGUCAAGGAAGAGGGUCAGUGGGAUCAAUGGAAGAAAAAGGUGUAUUGACAGCGUACACUGAGGCCAUUAGGGAACCACUAAUAGUCUGUCAACCACACAGCUGCCUGCUGAACCUGUAGUGACAACCUGCCAAGACUGGACACAACCAGCCACAGGGGAGGAGGUCAAUUCAAUUCCACUCGCCUCUAUUUAUAGACUGUUAU